rnacentral:rRNA from 1 species
GAUGAACGCUGGCGGCGUGCCUAAUACAUGCAAGUCGAGCGAAUGGAUUAAGAGCUUGCUCUUAUGAAGUUAGCGGCGGACGGGUGAGUAACACGUGGGUAACUUGCCCAUAAGACUGGGAUAACUCCGGGAAACCGGGGCUAAUGCCGGAUAACAUUUUGAACCGCAUGGUUCGAAAUUGAAAGGCGGCUUCGGCUGUCACUUAUGGAUGGACCCGCGUCGCAUUAGCUAGUUGGUGAGGUAACGGCUCACCAAGGCAACGAUGCGUAGCCGACCUGAGAGGGUGCUCGGCCACACUGGGACUGAGACACGGCCCAGACUCCUACGGGAGGCAGCAGUAGGGAAUCUUCCGCAAUGGACGAAAGUCUGACGGAGCAACGCCGCGUGAGUGAUGAAGGCUUUCGGGUCGUAAAACUCUGUUGUUAGGGAAGAACAAGUGCUAGUUGAAUAAGCUGACACCUUGACGGUACCUAACCAGAAAGCCACGGCUAACUACGUGCCAGCAGCCGCGGUAA